UAGUAAUGGCAGGUCAGCAUACUGCCGUGAAUACGUUCCCGGGCCUUGUACACACCGCCCGUCACACCAUGAGAGUUGGGAAUACCCGAAGCCUGUGAGCUAACGUUAAGAGGCAGCAGUCGAAGGUAGAAUCAAUGAUUGGGGUGAAGUCGUAACAAGGUAUC
rnacentral:rRNA from 1 species